CUGACCUGCUGGCCCAGGGCAGCCUGCACGUCCCGGUGCCCCACCCUGGACGCCGUGCAUCCCCUGCCCACCGGGAAGAGCUGGGUCUUCUGGGGUGCACCCGUGUCCCCACGUCACGACACACGCGAUGGACUCCAAGGAGGCUCGCGGGGCAGGCGGAUCCCUGAGAGGCCAAUGUCCUACCUCCACCCUUUUAGGAUCCCCAUUUUACAGAGGGGAGAACUGAGGCACAGGCGGAGCUGAGUGGCUUUCCCCGCAUCACAGGGAGUGAAUGGCACAGGCCAGGGGGUGACGGGGCCCAGUUGGGGGGAGGAGCCGUGGGCAAGGGAGUCGGCCUGGGGUCCACGCAAUCCCGGUGGGGCCGUGGGACCAGCCAGCCCUGUCCUCACACCAGCCUCUGGCCUUGGAUGGUCUAGCCUCUGGUCUCUGGUGUCCAGCCUCUGGCCAUGGAGGUCUAGCUUCUGACCAUCCAUCUCGCUCACACCAGCCAAGUCUACCCUUCAUCUCCAGCGUGUGUUUAUUGAGCACCUACUAGAGGCCAGGCAGUUUUGGGUGCUGGGGAUACAGAAGUGACCAAGCUGGACAUCUGUACCCUCGUGGAGCCGAUGCUCCCCAUGGCAGCCCUGGACGGCACAGGAAGGCAGACCAAACACGCGUGAGGUGGGAGCCUGCUGAGCGGAGGAGGGGACCUCUGGUGCCUGUGGAGCAGAGACAGUGGAGGCAGGGAGGCCCACGAGGAGGGAUCUUUGAAAUUGCGGACGUGCCUGUUGACGUCCUCCAGCUGUAAACCCCAAGCUCUGGGGCUGGAGCCGGGCCCUUUCUGUCGCCCAGGGUCUGCCUGAGCCCUGGCCUCUGCCAUGGCCGGGCGCUUCCGUCUCCCUCCACCCACAAACGGGCCACCACCAGAUCCUUGAGCAGAGCCAAGAGGUGGGUCCAUCAUGGAGGAUGAGUGGACAAGCUUGGGCUGAGGGCCUGACGUCUGCCCAGCCAUCCCGGGAAGCUAUUUCCAGGUCCCGGAAGCAGGAAGUGAGUCAUGGCGCUCGGCACCCGAGGUGCGAUUGAUGGCGCCUGGACAGAAGGGCCGGCCACCACCCAGGGCGGCAGGAAGGAGACCUGGAGGAAGAGGACAGGACAGACCCCGACAGGCCCCGCGGAAGCCGCUGAGGUCAGCGCAGAUGGGCGGCCUGGCCCACUGUCCUCCCGCACCUGGGGCCCGUCAGGAGGUGGGGACGCAGAGGGUCCCGCUGGCCCCGAGGAGAGGCCAGGGCUGGUCCAGGCCACGUCCACAGAGGGGCCAUGACCGCAGAGACCGCUCUGGACUGCGCGUCUCCGGGGACACAGGAGAGGCUGGCUUCCUGGAGGUGCCACCGCAGUCCAGGGCCUAGGCUUCCAGACCGAGGUCACGGCCAGUCCCCCAGCCGACUGGGGCUCCCUGAGCACAGGCUCCGAGUGACCUCCGGGGGCCGAGGGACCCACUUCCUCCCGCACCGCACCCUGAGGCCCCCGGCCCCCCAGGAUGGCGCAGGCCGGGGCUGGGCACCCCCGGGCACCCCCGUCUCAGCUGCGGGCAGGCUUGUCGGAGGCGGAGGUGGCAGCGCGCUCUCACUUCCUCGCUGGCCCGGGUCACCGCCCCGGCUCCUCCCGGCUCCCUUCCGCCUCCUCCAGAGCGCACGCCCUUCUGCAGGAAGCACCUGGGUCUGGAUGGGCCGCGCAGCUGCAGGCAGGGCCCGGGAGGCCUGGCCCCACCGGGUCUGGGGAAGGUGGCCUCUGAAUGGAGGGGCUCGAGUUUGGUCUGAAUUUGUUAAAUUUCCCUCCACAAAUAUGUAUUAUUUGUGUUUGAA